UACGUAGGGGGCGAGCGUUGUCCGAAGUUACUGGGCGUAAAGCGCGCGUAGGCGGUCCUUUAAGUCCGGGGUGAAAGGUUCAGCGCUCAACGUGAACAGUGCCCUGGAGACUGGGGGACUUGAGGACGGUAGAGGCGUGUGGAAUUCCGGGUGUAGUGGUGAAAUGCGUAGAGAUCCGGAGGAACACCAGUGGCGAAGGCGACACGCUGGGCCGUACCUGACACUGAUGCGCGACAGCAUGGGGAGCAAACAGG
rnacentral:rRNA from 1 species